GGCAGGAGGCAUUAGAUUGAGUGACUUCAUUCCUAGUGACUGUAUUCUGUCUCUUGAACUAGGAUGUGUUUGGCCGAAAUAAUGGCCCUGAAAAGACAACGCUAGUGAGCACAACCUGCCUGCCAGGUGUGGAGCUGGUGACCAUGUCAGCCUCUGUCCUGUCAAGUCUUGCUAUAGGACUACUUGGUUCUGGUUCUGAUUAGAAAUGGGGAACCAUUGGCCAGAUGUAGUGGUGCACACCUUUAAAACUAACCCAGCACUCGGCAGAGGCAGAGAGGCAUCUCUGGGUUUAAAUCAAGCCAGGUCACACAGAGAGUAAAUUCCAGGUCAGCCAAGGAUGCAUAGUGAGG
rnacentral:lncRNA from 1 species